GCAUUAUGAUACAGGAAUUUGCUGGCUUUGUGUUUACAGAAGUACCUGACUAUGCCGGACUUUUGUGCAGCCUACGGAUGCUCUAAUCACCGCAGUCUGCAAACAAGAACCCGUGGGAUCACCUUUCACGUGUUUCCCAAAACCGAAGAGAGGAGGAGGCAGUGGGAACUCGCCCUAAGAAGGGACGGUUUUGUUUCCCUUGACAGGACAGUAACAGUUUGACCCGUUGUUGGGCCAAGCUGUUUUGUGCAUAUCAUUUUACUUACUUGCAGUUACAAAUAAACCGCUGGUAACACAUACCAAUUCUA